rnacentral:tRNA from 1 species
GGGGGUGAAGUAUUUUGUACGCUUUAGUUACAUUAAAGAGGGCCCGGCUAGGGCACCCCUA